rnacentral:rRNA from 1 species
UACGUAGGUGGCAAGCGUUGUCCGGAAUUAUUGGGCGUAAAGCGCGCGCAGGCGGUCCUUUAAGUCUGAUGUGAAAGCCCACGGCUCAACCGUGGAGGGUCAUUGGAAACUGGGGGACUUGAGUGCAGGAGAGAAGAGUGGAAUUCCACGUGUAGCGGUGAAAUGCGUAGAGAUCGGGAGGAACACCUGUGGCGAAGGCGGCCGGCUGGGGGUACCCUGACGCUGAGGCGCGACAGCGUGGGGAGCGAACCGG